GACUUCUGGUUUAAUGCACCUGGCCCGCGGCUCUUUAGGCUUGUGAGUGCCGACCAUCCUUCUGGGGAACGGGUCUAGCCUUAACUGGGCUGGAUUCGGGAUCCAGAUCAUUUACUUUGAAAAAAUUAGAGUGUUUAAAGCAGGCUAUCGCUAUGAAUACAUUAGCAUGGAAUAAUAAUCUAGGACUUCGGUUCUAUUUUGUUGGUUUCUAUAACUGAAGUAAUGAUUGAUAGGGAUAGUUGGGGGUGCUAGGAUUGGCCGGUCAGAGGUGAAAUUCUUGGAUUUGGUCAAGACUAACUUAUGCGAAAGCAUU
rnacentral:rRNA from 1 species